UACGUAGGGGGCAAGCGUUGUCCGGAUUUAUUGGGCGUAAAGGGCGCGUAGGCGGCCUGGCAAGUGGAAGGUGAAAUCCCUCGGCUUAACCGAGGAACUGCCCUCCAAACUGCUUGGCUUGAGUCCGGGAGAGGUGAGUGGAAUUCCCAGUGUAGCGGUGAAAUGCGUAGAUAUCAAGAGGAACACCAGUGGCGAAGGCGAGUCCCUGGACAACUUCUGACGCUGAGGCACGAAAGCUAGGGGAGCAAACAGG
rnacentral:rRNA from 1 species